rnacentral:Y_RNA from 1 species
AGCUGGUCUGAAGGUAGUGAGUUAUCACAUUGAAUGUUCACAGUCAGUUACAGAUUGAACCCCUUGUUCUACCCUUUUCCCCCUCCUCACUGCUGCACUUGACUAGCCUUAC